GUUGAGUGUUAUGUUCUCCAUGGCCCCUGGCUCCAGUUCCACCUGCACCACCGCCGCUCCCGUCAGGCCUUUUCCCCAUCCCCACUAGUGGCACAGGGGAUGCCCCUGCCCCAGUGUGGGAAGAACAGGGCUGCCUGCGGGCGACACAGCAAGGUCCAGCUGACUCUGGAGGCCUCCUGGAGCCUGCUCGGCCCUUCCCCGGCCCGGCCCGGCCCAAAGAGAAAAACAACAACAGCUAUUGAAACAUGAAGGAUCAGUUUCCUCGGAGCUCUGGGAACCCGGGGGUCCCAAAGGAGAGAGACUCUCGGGCAGGGGUGGGAUACACUGUGGGCCCUCCACAGUCAGCUCUUUGGAAGCUGUCAGGAGGCACCCCUCCACCCCCAAGUUUAGAAAAAUAGACACAUCUGUAUUUUUGCAUUUCUGUUCUCCCUGCCUGACUGCUGAUGGCAGCAGUGACCCCCAUGUGAUCCCUGGGCCCUGAGUCACAGCCGCCACCCACCCCCCACCACCUUCCCAAGUCAUGGCUUCAUUCAGCCCUAAAUGGGAACACACGCCUCAGACCCCACCAUGCCCUGGGUGGUCCCCACAUACGCACACACACAC
rnacentral:antisense_RNA from 1 species